GUAAUACCAGUAACGCGAACGUUAGUCAUCUUUAUCAGGCGUAAAGGGUUUGUAGGCAGCUUUUAAAAAAAAAUUCUUAAGAAUAUUGUCCUUUUUUUAUUCUUUAUUUUAUAAAAAAAAUAAAGAAUAAAGAGAAAAGGAAUAAAUAGUUAAGUUUUUAAUUUAUUCUUUAUUUAUUCUCUAAAAAUAAAAUAAAGACAAGAGCUAGAAUCAAAUAGAAGUUAAAAAGUAUAAUACUUAGAGAAGGGUUGAAAUUCUUAGAACCUAAGGGGAAUACUAAUGGUGUAAACAACUAACUAUAAAUGAUUGACGCUGAGACACGAAGGUGAGGAUAGGAAAUAGGAUUAGAUACCCCGGUACCCCUCUCUGUAAACGAUGAAUGGUAGUUAUUAGUGUAUUACUGGUAACGAAGCUAACGCGUUAACCAUUCCGCCUUGGGAGUACGAUUGCAAAGUUGAAAACAAAAAAAUUAGUCGGUCUCGGAGCAAACGGAGUGAAG
rnacentral:rRNA from 1 species